UACAGAGGUCUCAAGCGUUGUUCGGAUUCAUUGGGCGUAAAGGGUGCGUAGGUGGCGUGGUAAGUCUGGUGUGAAAUCCCGGGGCUCAACCCCCGGAACUGCACUGGAUACUGCCAUGCUUGAGUACUGGAGAGGAGAUUGGAAUUUACGGUGGUAGCAGUUGAAAUGCGUAGAUAUCGUAAGGAAGACCAGUGGCGAAGGCGAAUCUCUGGACAGUUACUGACACUGGGGCGACGAAGGCCAG
rnacentral:rRNA from 1 species